UACGUAGGGGGCAAGCGUUGUCCGGAAUCAUUGGGCGUAAAGAGCGUGUAGGCGGUUCGAUAAGUCUGCUGUGAAAGUCCAGGGCUCAACCCUGGGAUGCCGGUGGAUACUGCCGGGCUAGAGUACGGAAGAGGCGAGUGGAAUUCCCGGUGUAGCGGUGAAAUGCGCAGAUAUCGGGAGGAACACCUAUUGCGAAGGCAGCUCGCUGGGACGUCACUGACGCUGAGACGCGAAAGCGUGGGGAGCAAACAGG
rnacentral:rRNA from 1 species